ACUUGAAAUGCCAACCUCUGUAAAUAGUAAUUUAUUUUGAGUAAACAUUGAGUGAUAUAUAAAGCCAUAGAAUACAUUCAUGCCACUCAAAUUCAGCCACUCAGAAUGAUGGGAAGGAUUGCAGAACUGAGUUUCACCUGACUGAUGCAGAUUCAGUAAUCUAUUGUAUGUACUUUUUGUCAAAUUGCUCUAUUAAAAAUAUAAUGUUGACCUUUUUGAGGAAUAAUUUGGAAAGGAAAAAUAAAUUAUUAUAAAGAAAAAGUAAUUUGCUAUGUACAAAAAGUGGACAAAAAUGUUGAACAGUAUGAAGUUUUAAAUUAGAAAAUCCUUACUUCUCUAUGUAUGUAUUUCAACUUAAUUAAGAUAAUAGCUGGUAAUAUAAUGUAUUCCCUUAAUUAAUUGAUUUGUGAUAAAACCUUUUUACUCUGCAUGUAUAUAUCUGUAUAUGUAUGUUGCCAUAUAAACUAUAUGCAUGUAGUUUCUUUUGUGUACAUGUGUAUUGAAAUCAACACAUUCCUUUGUUAUAUAUUCAGGCUCAUGAUGGUUUCUGAGAAAAAAAUCAGCUUGGUGUAAUUUGACAGUAUUUUUCCAGUAUUUGACAGUGGUUCUAUCAUGCAACAGUCAUGCCAUGAAGUGUCUCACAGAUUCUCUCUCAAUUCCUGCAAUAUCCAAGAUUACCUGGUACAGCGAGAACAGUUCCUGCAUUUUUGAGUGAUUAUAGAGUGAAAAUGUUUCCAUAUAAAAUGUUGUCUUUUAAUGUGUAAAACUUCACAUGUUAUGAAUGGUUACAAAUACAUGCAUGGCCAUUUUGAUUCCAAAUCUAUGCACAUUUUGAAACCAAUAAUUAUUCACAAAAGUACUUUAAAUUUGGUUUGAAACUGAAAUAUUGUCCUUUUGUUUGUUUCUAAACAGUAUUAAAGUGGUAUUAUUCAUGUUUAUAGUUAAAAAAAAGUCAGUUCUUUUUAAGAUGUACUCUUACUCUCACAUAAGAUUUACCACAAUUAAUACUUACUUACUACUGUUUUAUUAUUCCAAAAGAGAUGAAUAAAUGUCGAAAACAAUGGUUCUAAUGAAGGAUAGUAGAUCACAGUAAAUCUUUAAGCAUUCACCAAUCAUUUAAUAUUUUUGCAUUGUCAGCUAUUAAAUACACCGUUACAAUCUUGUUAUCAGUACUAAAUAUUUUCCAUAAAUGAAUUGUUAAGUAAGAAGUUAACAGUCAAAGUAUAUGUUUGUUAUACAUGUGUAUGCAUUGAUAUUGAAUAAGUGUGUUACUUUAAACAGUUGCCAUGGUAACUAGACUCUAGUUUUCUAAGGAAACUGUAAUUGUUGUCUAAAAACCUUAGUAUUUUCAAUGUGAUACUUUUUUAACAUGUCCGCUUCAGUCAAUGAAAUAUUUCUGUUAUUAUUUAUUCUUUUGGUCAUACUUUGUAUACAAUUAUAUUUAUAAUUUAACCUUAAAAAUUGCUGACAAUCUCAUACUUAUAUUAAAAUAUUCAGAACUGCUAGAUGGUUUUAAGUUCACCUUUUUUACAAUUGUCAGGCAAAUCAAUGCAAGAUAUACAUAAUCCUUCUUUUUAACAAAAAGCGAUGUUUCUUGGCAUUUUUUUGUAUUUUUAUUGAAUGGUUACCAUGGCAACUAAUUUUUUGUUUGCCUUUAAUUUUCCUAUUUAUAAUACUAUUAAUUGUAAAAAUGCAACAGUCAAGCAGUGAAUGGAAGAAAGUAAAUGUUCUUUGACUUUUACCUUAUUGCUAGCUCAUUCUUCAAAAUAUACAGCAUUUUUUAAAUUUCUUAAAAAUAGACGUUUUUUCAUCAUUUUUUUUAACGUGAAAUAAUUUGCUUAA